rnacentral:rRNA from 1 species
UGGGGAAUUUUGGACAAUGGGCGAAAGCCUGAUCCAGCAAUGCCGCGUGUGCGAAGAAGGCCUUCGGGUUGUAAAGCACUUUUGUCCGGAAAGAAAUCCUCCUGGCCAAUACCCGGGCGGGAUGACGGUACCGGAAGAAUAAGCACCGGCUAACUACGUGCCAGCAGCCGCGGUAAUACGUAGGGUGCGAGCGUUAAUCGGAAUUACUGGGCGUAAAGCGUGCGCAGGCGGCUUUGUAAGACAGAUGUGAAAUCCCCGGGCUCAACCUGGGAACUGCAUUUGUGACUGCAAGGCUAGAGUGCGUCAGAGGGAGGUGGAAUUCCGCGUGUAGCAGUGAAAUGCGUAGAGAUGCGGAGGAACACCGAUGGCGAAGGCAGCCUCCUGGGAUGACACUGACGCUCAUGCACGAAAGCGUGGGGAGCAAACA